UUUUUAUUAAAAUUGAAAAUGAGUCCAGUCAUUUAACAUACAUUCACCAUUAUUAAAUCUUGACAAUCUGGAAAUUAAAACCACAAACACCAAAUCAAAAUCUGAAAAUCAAAACCUAUAAUUAUUCCAUUAAUUAUCUACUCGUUUUUAUAAGUCAACUUCGGGUAGAUUGGAGAGUGAAAAAAUUCACAGGGCCAUUUUCAUCCUUUUGUAUCUUCCCCGUCCCCUCUCUCUCCGGCUUCCUUCGAUCUGGCCCCGAUCAAUUGGUACUAAUGUUGUCUACUGUAUAAACUUGAAAAUGUUCAUUCUGUAGUGGGUGUGGCUAGCCACCACGCCGGGAGUAUGGGCCUGAAGCACAAUGUUCUGAAGCCAACACAGGAUGGAAUGGAUUGCUCAGAUGAUGGAGUUUCGUCCAUCAGCAGCAGAGAGGAGGGACUGUAAUGCCCGAUAUGCUGGGAAUCCUUUAACCUUGUCGAAAACAUACCCUGUCUUCUUGUGUGGUAAUGUAUUAUAAAAAAAACUGCAUUCUGGGACUACAAUGGGCUGUUGUAAAAUUUCCUACUUUACCUGCCUGGCUUCCGCUCUUCAUAUCUUGCCCCUGGUGCAUUCUCUUAUCACUUUGUCUGAUUUAUUGGGGAAACCUCAAAUUUCCUCUUAAAAACUUCUUUCUUCUCUGGAUGCUUGAAAGCAUGAAUGGUUUGGAAUUAAGCUUUGAAUUGGGAUUGAGAUUUUCACAUGGUGUUUUGAAUCUCAGUUGGGGCAUUAACAGGGCGAGUGUGGGUCGGGACACUCUUC
rnacentral:lncRNA from 1 species